GGGGUGUAGCUCAGCUGGGAGAGCACCUGCCUUGCAAGCAGGGGGUCAGGAGUUCGAUCCUCCUCAUCUCCACCA
rnacentral:tRNA from 1 species